rnacentral:ncRNA from 1 species
CGAAAAGCUAUAAUAGAGACAAGUACACGUUCUGAAUACAUCCUGUUUUAAAGCGAGCUGGUGAUGGUGAGAGACUGGCAAAUAGGAUAGAAUAUGGAAAUCACUCUGGAGCUCUUUUUUUGAAAGGUACACGUUGCCAAUUAGGAAGAAGCGUAAGUCGGCGUUAACGAUAUAACGAAGUGGGCAAAGAUGCAUGAUCGAUGUCAACAAGGGUGGUACCGCGACUAUUUAGACUCGUCCCUUUU